UAAACAGCAAAACAUAUAAGAUUACUGGAUAGAAUAAAACAGUAGCUCAGCUAGCUGAGGCCAGUUCUGAGCUGGAGAAGUUCAUUCAUCACUAAUGUGCACUCAGAUGGUUGGUUGUGGUACUUUAAGGCCUUCAGUGCGUCAUCAAGAGAAGGUGCAAUUUACCCUGAAGCAGUGGUAAAGGAGCUUUGAUGUCAAUUGAUUGUGUUACUCUUCUGUUCAAGAAGGCAGACUGAACCAGGUGCCUGUGAUCAACCCUCUUUGGAGUUCUCCAAAUCAGAAUGAAUUCAACAAAGGAACAAAGGCCCAGUUCUCCUGCCAGCUUAGCAUAAACCAUUCAACAUGUUCUUUCAGGAAAUAUUAGCACAUGUUCUCUUUGAACUUAGCACUUCAUGCAGCCAUCUGUUGAAGAAGUAAUGGGCUUCUUUGUUUUGUGGAAGUUCGAGUUGUACCUGUGGAAACAAGGGGAAGAAAUGAGAUUGCUGUGUCUGCCGCUUUACUCGGUAUCAAAUUAAGAUUUGGAUUGCUGCUUUUGUUGAGUCUAACAAAUGUUAACUGUGAUGGAUGGAUGCAAAUGAUCCAGCUUUUUUUCCAGACUCACCAGAAGCAAGGAUACCCCAUUUUGCUUUUCUGACAUUUUCAUCUGUGCUCCAGUCCAGUGAGAGUGACUAAUAAGAAGAUGUUGGAAGCAAUCGGUAGAACUCUUUUCCUAUUGAAAAGAAGAAGCUUUUGGCAUAAACUGAUAACAUGCAUGGGGGAAAGGCGGAGGGGAAGAGGCAUUCAGAUCAGCCUGCUUAGUCUUUCAGUAGAUAUGACAGGUGCUUAAUGAAAACUUUGAGGAUCAACUUUGUACUAAUGUGCAAAACACUUCAAGGAAUCUGUAUCGUGUCAAAGCUUUGAGGCAGAGGAGCCCAGUGGCAAGCUGGCUUAAUCAGAUUGUUCUUUGUUUCAUUCUGUUACACGUUAAUUCUUAUGGGUUUGCUUGCUGCUCCUUUUUAUAUGGAGAAAAUGUUUGGGGCUAUAAUAUUUUAAAGGCUAUUGUCUGAUCAAAUAAAUCUUGAUUUAUUAGUUUUUGUUAAGUUAAUUGCUCAAUUAAAUUUGCAUAAAUAAACAUACGGGAUAAAAACAAUA